CUGUUCAGCUGCCUGGAACUCGUCACAUCGUGCAUGUGGUCGAGCCCAGUCUUCUAACACCCUUGAUUUUGAGCACCAUUUGUUUCCUCGGCGGGCCUGCCCGCCAGCGAGGACCCCAUAAACUCUUUGUAGUAGCAUCAUUUGUCUGAUAUACCAACAAAAAAUCA
rnacentral:misc_RNA from 1 species